GGUUAAGCGACUAAGCGUACACGGUGGAUGCCCUGGCAGUCAGAGGCGAUGAAGGACGUGCUAAUCUGCGAAAAGCGCCGGCGAGGUGAUAUGAACCCUUGACCCGGCGAUGUCCGAAUGGGGAAACCCAGUGCAAUUCGUUGCACUAUCGUUAACUGAAUACAUAGGUUAACGAGGCGAACCGGGGGAACUGAAACAUCUAAGUACCCCGAGGAAAAGAAAUCAACCGAGAUUCCCCCAGUAGCGGCGAGCGAACGGGGAGCAGCCCGGAGUCUGAAUCAGCUUGUGUGUUAGUGGAACGGUCUGGAAAGUCCGACGGUACAGGGUGAUAGUCCCGUACACGAAAGCACACAUGCUGUGAACUCGAAGAGUAGGGCGGGACACGUGGUAUCCUGUCUGAAUAUGGGGGGACCAUCCUCCAAGGCUAAAUACUCCUGACUGACCGAUAGUGAACCAGUACCGUGAGGGAAAGGCGAAAAGAACCCCGGCGAGGGGAGUGAAAAAGAACCUGAAACCGUGUACGUACAAGCAGUGGGAGCCUCUUUAUGGGGUGACUGCGUACCUUUUGUAUAAUGGGUCAGCGACUUAUAUUCUGUAGCAAGGUUAACCGUAUAGGGGAGCCGAAGGGAAACCGAGUCUUAACUGGGCGUUAAGUUGCAGGGUAUAGACCCGAAACCCGGUGAUCUAGCCAUGGGCAGGUUGAAGGUUGGGUAACACUAACUGGAGGACCGAACCGACUAAUGUUGAAAAAUUAGCGGAUGACCUGUGGCUGGGGGUGAAAGGCCAAUCAAACCGGGAGAUAGCUGGUUCUCCCCGAAAGCUAUUUAGGUAGCGCCUCGUGAACUCAUCUUCGGGGGUAGAGCACUGUUUCGGCUAGGGGGCCAUCCCGGCUUACCAACCCGAUGCAAACUACGAAUACCGAAGAAUGUUAUCACGGGAGACACACGGCGGGUGCUAACGUCCGUCGUGAAGAGGGAAACAACCCAGACCGCCAGCUAAGGUCCCAAAGUCAUGGUUAAGUGGGAAACGAUGUGGGAAGGCACAGACAGCCAGGAUGUUGGCUUAGAAGCAGCCAUCAUUUAAAGAAAGCGUAAUAGCUCACUGGUCGAGUCGGCCUGCGCGGAAGAUGUAACGGGGCUAAACCAUGCACCGAAGCUGCGGCAGCGACACUUAUGUGUUGUUGGGUAGGGGAGCGUUCUGUAAGCCGUUGAAGGUGUGCUGUGAGGCAUGCUGGAGGUAUCAGAAGUGCGAAUGCUGACAUAAGUAACGAUAAAGCGGGUGAAAAGCCCGCUCGCCGGAAGACCAAGGGUUCCUGUCCAACGUUAAUCGGGGCAGGGUGAGUCGACCCCUAAGGCGAGGCCGAAAGGCGUAGUCGAUGGGAAACAGGUUAAUAUUCCUGUACUUGGUGUUACUGCGAAGGGGGGACGGAGAAGGCUAUGUCAGCCGGGCGACGGUUGUCCCGGUUUAAGCAUGUAGGCGGAGGUUCCAGGUAAAUCCGGUACCUUGUUAACGCUGAGGUGUGAUGACGAGGCACUACGGUGCUGAAGUGAUAAAUGCCCUGCUUCCAGGAAAAGCCUCUAAGCAUCAGGUAACACGAAAUCGUACCCCAAACCGACACAGGUGGUCAGGUAGAGAAUACCAAGGCGCUUGAGAGAACUCGGGUGAAGGAACUAGGCAAAAUGGUGCCGUAACUUCGGGAGAAGGCACGCUGAUGUGUAGGUGAAGCCCCUGCGGGUGGAGCUGAAAUCAGUCGAAGAUACCAGCUGGCUGCAACUGUUUAUUAAAAACACAGCACUGUGCAAACACGAAAGUGGACGUAUACGGUGUGACGCCUGCCCGGUGCCGGAAGGUUAAUUGAUGGGGUUAGCGGCAACGCGAAGCUCUUGAUCGAAGCCCCGGUAAACGGCGGCCGUAACUAUAACGGUCCUAAGGUAGCGAAAUUCCUUGUCGGGUAAGUUCCGACCUGCACGAAUGGCGUAAUGAUGGCCAGGCUGUCUCCACCCGAGACUCAGUGAAAUUGAACUCGCUGUGAAGAUGCAGUGUACCCGCGGCAAGACGGAAAGACCCCGUGAACCUUUACUAUAGCUUGACACUGAACACUGGUCCUUGAUGUGUAGGAUAGGUGGGAGGCUUUGAAGCGUGGACGCCAGUCUGCGUGGAGCCAACCUUGAAAUACCACCCUUUAAUGGCUGGUGUUCUAACGUAGACCCGUAAUCCGGGUUGCGGACAGUGUCUGGUGGGUAGUUUGACUGGGGCGGUCUCCUCCCAAAGAGUAACGGAGGAGCACGAAGGUUGGCUAAUCCUGGUCGGACAUCAGGAGGUUAGUGCAAUGGCAUAAGCCAGCUUGACUGCGAGCGUGACGGCGCGAGCAGGUGCGAAAGCAGGUCAUAGUGAUCCGGUGGUUCUGAAUGGAAGGGCCAUCGCUCAACGGAUAAAAGGUACUCCGGGGAUAACAGGCUGAUACCGCCCAAGAGUUCAUAUCGACGGCGGUGUUUGGCACCUCGAUGUCGGCUCAUCACAUCCUGGGGCUGAAGUAGGUCCCAAGGGUAUGGCUGUUCGCCAUUUAAAGUGGUACGCGAGCUGGGUUUAGAACGUCGUGAGACAGUUCGGUCCCUAUCUGCCGUGGGCGCUGGAGAAUUGAGGGGGGCUGCUCCUAGUACGAGAGGACCGGAGUGGACGCAUCACUGGUGUUCGGGUUGUCAUGCCAAUGGCACUGCCCGGUAGCUAAAUGCGGAAGAGAUAAGUGCUGAAAGCAUCUAAGCACGAAACUUGCCCCGAGAUGAGUUCUCCCUGAGACUUUAAGUCUCCUGAAGGAACGUUGAAGACGACGACGUUGAUAGGUCGGGUGUGUAAGCGCAGCGAUGCGUUGAGCUAACCGAUACUAAUGAACCGUGAGGCUUAACCUU
rnacentral:rRNA from 1 species